rnacentral:lncRNA from 1 species
ACUCAAUAACACACUUCACGUAAACAGUUCAAGCUGUGUCCCUCGUUGUCUGGUGUUUUGAGAGGGUGUACAGCUGUCGUCGAUUGAAGUCGUUUUUCCUUGACUAUCCGGGGCUUCACCUCCGUCGGUCUUUGUUAUGCUGGGAAAAACGCGACGAAACAGCAGCUAGAACGGGGUUCAUGACCUGCAUCUCCAGCUGUUUUUCCUGUCGGGAAGCAGUCAGAGAGACGCAAUCGAGAGGGUGUGUAAAGCUCUCUCCCCAUUCUUUCUGAGGCAUUUCUUAUGGUACACAACCUGAAACAGCCAACGCGCGCGGCCCCAUCGUGGCACGCGGCACACGCGUUCGUGCUUCUCCUGGUUCUCUUCCUAACAUAGGUUUAUGUACCGUUGACGACAUGCAAUGAGAAUCAGUAUCCGUUGGGAGAACUCCCCGCAGUCAUUCUAGCCUUGCCUGCUCCGGAGACCAUCAGGGAGACACCGCAGACAUCAUGGCGGUUGGGGCCACAGCAGCUACAGGGUAGUCAACGGCCUGCCGUGCGGAAAAUGUGGGAGAGAAGAAAUCGGGGGCUCGCUACGAGCAGCAAGCACUGAAGCGCCAGAAAUCUGAAGAGGGCCGGCGUGCCUGCGGUGUGGGCCCUGUGGCAGGAAUUAUGAAGCGACUUGCGUUAGGAAUACUCAUCCAUAGCGAUGGUUACGCAACGGGUACUACCUACAAGGCACUGGUGGUACGAUACGCGUAGAACGUCCGCGUGUGAUGACUCCGCCUUACAAGAUGGCGCGGUGAGUCGUAAACUAUCCUUCACCGUGGUUUGAGGUUAUCAGUUGGGAAGAGUGCGGUCUCUUCAAGUGCGUGUCGCAGCGCCUACGGUGUGGAAUGUAAAGAUGCACUCUACGUAUAGAAGGCAACGUGUCCCUCUGUGCGAAUGAGGAAGCAGCCAAUGAUUGUCAGGGAGAGUCCCCUAACGCAAAUGAACAUGAGCUGUGCAGCCAGAUGCCGUGUGCCCGAAUUCGAACUCUGCUCUGAAGCAUAUAUGCAGCACACCAAGACGCUGUGUGGAAUGUCCAGAUCCCCCACUUUGCUGAUUACGUUCCUCUUCGUUUUUCUGCCUGACACAUUUUGGUCAUGAGAGCGGGACUGUGAAACCGUAGAUGGUAGCUGUCCUUAAAAUACAACUGAACGGCAUUGUCCGUUCUUUCAGCUAAGC